rnacentral:rRNA from 1 species
CAGCAGCCACGGGAAUACGGAGGGUGCAAGCGUUAUCCGGAUUUAUUGGGUUUAAAGGGUCCGUAGGCGGACUUAUAAGUCAGUGGUGAAAGCCUGUCGCUUAACGAUAGAACUGCCAUUGAUACUUUAAGUCUUGAGUAUAUUUGAGGUAGCUGGAAUAAGUAGUGUAGCGGUGAAAUGCAUAGAUAUUACUUAGAACACCAAUUGCGAAGGCAGGUUACCAAGAUAUAACUGACGCUGAGGGACGAAAGCGUGGGUAGCGAACAGGAUUAGAUACCCCCGUAGUCCCUGUCUCUUAUAC